GAUGAACGCUGGCGGCGUGCCUAAUACAUGCAAGUCGAGCGAACAGACGAGGAGCUUGCUCCUCUGACGUUAGCGGCGGACGGGUGAGUAACACGUGGAUAACCUACCUAUAAGACUGGGAUAACUUCGGGAAACCGGAGCUAAUACCGGAUAAUAUCUUUAACCGCAUGGUUCAAUAGUGAAAGACGGUUUUGCAGUCACUUAUAGAUGGAUCCGCGCGGCAUUAGCUAGUUGGUAAGGUAACAGCUUACCAAGGCAACGAUGCGUAGCCGACCUGAGAGGGGGACAGGCCACAGUGGAACUGGGACACGGUCCAGACUCCUACGGGAGGCAGCAGUAGGAAAUCUUCCGCAAUGGGCGAAAGCCUGACGGAGCAAGGCGGCGUGAGUGAUGAAGGUCUUCGGAUCGUAAAACUCUGUUAUUGGGGAAGAACAAAUGUGGAAGUAAAUGUGCACGUAUUGACGGUAACUAAUCAGAAAGCCACGGCUAACUACGUG
rnacentral:rRNA from 1 species